AGAGUUUGAUCAUGGCUCAGAGCGAACGCUGGCGGCAGGCCUAACACAUGCAAGUCGAGCGCCCAGCAAUGGGAGCGGCAGACGGGAUAGUAACACGUGGGAACGUACCCUUCAGUUCGGAACAACCCAGGGUAACUUGGGCUAAUACCGAAUACGUCCGUAAGGAGAAAGAUUUAUCGCUGAAGGAUCGGCCCGCGUCUGAUUAGCUAGUUGGUGAGGUAAUGGCUCACCAAGGCGACGAUCAGUAGCUGGUCUGAGAGGAUGAUCAGCAUCACUGGGACUGAGACACGGCCCAGACUCCUACGGGAGGCAGCAGUGGGGAAUAUUGGACAAUGGGCGCAAGCCUGAUCCAGCCAUGCCGCGUGGAUGAUGAAGGCCCUAGGGUUGUAAAGUCCUUUCGGCGGGGAAGAUAAUGACGGUACCCGCAGAAGAAGCCCCGGCUAACUUCGUGCCAGCAGCCGCGGUA
rnacentral:rRNA from 1 species